AUACGGAGGAUGCGAGCGUUAUCCGGAUUUAUUGGGUUUAAAGGGAGCGUAGGUGGGAUAUUAAGUCAGCUGUGAAAGUUUGGGGCUCAACCUUAAAAUUGCAGUUGAUACUGGUUUCCUUGAGUACGGUACAGGUGGGCGGAAUUCGUGGUGUAGCGGUGAAAUGCUUAGAUAUCACGAAGAACUCCGAUCGCGAAGGCAGCUCACCGGGCCGGAACUGACACUGAUGCUCGAAAGUGCGGGUAUCAAACAGGAUGAGAUACCCUGGUAGUCCGCACAGUAAACGAUGAAUACUCGCUGUUUGCGAUACACGGUAAGCGGCCGAUCGAAAGCAUUAUGUAUACCACCUGGGGAAUACGCCGGCAGCGGUGAAUCUCAAAUGAAUUGACGGUG
rnacentral:rRNA from 1 species